CCUACGGGAGACAGCAGUGAGGAAUAUUGGUCAAUGGCCGGAAGGCUGAACCAGCCAUGCCGCGUGAAGGUCAGUGCCCUAUGGGCGUUAAACUUCUUUUGUGCGGGAGCAAUAAUGGUCACGUGUGGCCAGACGAGAGUACCGUACGAAUAAGCAUCGGCUAACUCCGUGCCAGCAGCCGCGGUAAUACGGGGGAUGCAAGCGUUAUCCGGAUUUAUUGGGUUUAAAGGGUGCGUAGGCUGUGAGGUAAGUCAGCGGUGAAAUGCCCGCGCUCAACGGGGUGAAGUGCCAUUGAUACUGCCUGGCUGGAAUGCGGAUGCCGUGGGAGGAAUGUGUGGUGUAGCGGUGAAAUGCAUAGAUAUCACACAGAACACCGAUUGCGAAGGCAUCUCACGAAUCCGCGAUUGACGCUGAUGCACGAAAGCGUGGGUAUCAAACAGGAUUAGAUACCCUUGUAGUC
rnacentral:rRNA from 1 species